GAGCAUUGGACAAGUAACUGAAAGGUUGCAAGAUCGAAUCCCCGACCAGACAAGCUGGUUCUUGAAUUGUGGUGUGGAGUCUAACCCAGCUGGCUACAAAACCAUCCAGCCCCACCUGGACAGAAUCCAUUCAUGCACAACACGUAAAGGGAGCAAAGACAGAUAUGUGGAGGCCUCAAAUGAUAACUUUAUGGAUCUGGUCCAAACUCUGCUAGAAGACUCAACAAAGAGGCAACAUUUUUU